rnacentral:misc_RNA from 1 species
GCAUAUGACUACUGGCAGGAUCAACCAGGUAGCAUUCCUUCGCGACGCCGAUGCCGAUGCCCACAUGAGGCCCGACGAGCCGUGCGUCCGUUGGACGCUCAACACGAGUACGACAGUUGUUCGCGUCGAGGGACGAAAUGCAUUGCUUGGGCAAACGAAGGCCAAGAGACCCCUCACCCGUGUAUAACAUUCUGUAUCCAGGAGCACGGGGAAAGCACCUCAUGGGCCAAGGCAACCACGUACGCGGGCCAGGCAUGCCAGGAACACGAGGCUCACCUUGCGUCCACCCCACCACCAAUUCCUUUGGCUAGGUAAGCAACACAGGAUACCG